AUAAUGGUUUGGUAAAAAGAGGUAGAAGUAGAAGAAAGAAGCUCCACUUUCUCUUUCUCUUCCUAUAUAUUCCUCUCUUCACAGCACAUCACAGCACAUUGACCAGUGUUGAGAAUAUAUGGAAAGCUCUAGAGAGAUGAAUAAGGAGUUGGCAGCACCACUGCUAGUGCCAAGAAAGAGUGGUGAUGGGCAAGAGAAUAAUAAUAAUAAUGGAGUGGAGGUGGUGGCAUCAUCAUCAGAGAGUACAUUUUGCCAAGAGUUGAAGAGAGUAAGCUCCAUGGCGGCUCCAAUGGUGGCAGUCACGGUGUCUCAGUACCUUCUACAAGUUGUUUCUUUGAUGAUGGUGGGACAUUUUGGGAUACUGGUCUCCUUCUCUGGGGUUGCUAUUGCUACCUCUUUUGCUGAAGUCACCGGAUUCAGCGUCCUUUUGGGAAUGUCCGGUGCAUUGGAAACUUUAUGUGGGCAAACCUAUGGUGCGGAAGAGUAUAGGAAGUUUGGAAACUACACUUGGUGUGCGAUUGUGACUCUGACAUUGGUUUGUCUCCCGAUAUCUCUGGUGUGGAUAUUCACUGAUAAAAUACUGUUGCUGUUUAGUCAAGACCCUGAGAUUUCUCAUGCAGCUCGUGAGUACUGCAUAUACCUCAUUCCAGCUCUAUUUGGUCAUGCUGUUCUUCAAGCUCUCACUCGCUACUUCCAGACUCAGAGUAUGAUCUUUCCCAUGGUUUUCAGCUCAAUCACCGCACUGUGUUUGCAUGUUCCUAUUUGUUGGGGUCUGGUUUUUAAGUUGGGACUGGGACACGUUGGAGCUGCAUUAGCCAUUGGAGUCUCGUAUUGGUUGAAUGUGGUUUGGCUUGCAAUUUAUAUGAUCUACUCUCCGGCUUGUCAAAAAACCAAGAUUGUCUUUUCUAGUAAUGCUUUACUUAGCAUUCCAGAGUUCUUGAAAUUAGCUAUCCCUUCUGGACUCAUGUUUUGUUUUGAAUGGUGGUCCUUUGAGGUGCUUACAUUACUUGCGGGAAUUUUGCCUAAUCCUCAACUUGAAACCGCAGUUCUGUCAAUCUGCCUUAACACAACCACAUUGCACUACUUUAUUCCUUAUGCCGUGGGAGCCUCUGCAAGCACUCGGGUUUCAAAUGAACUAGGGGCAGGGAAUCCAAAGACAGCAAAAGGUGCUGUUCGUGUGGUAGUGAUUCUCGGGGUGGCAGAGGCAGCUAUUGUGAGCACUGUGUUCAUUAGUUGCCGACAUGUAUUAGGAUACGCGUACAGCAAUGAUAAGGAGGUAAUCGAUUACGUUGCAGAGAUGGCUCCACUCUUGUGUGUGUCUGUUACUGCCGAUAGUCUAAUUGGAGCACUAUCAGGGAUUGCGAGAGGGGGAGGAUUUCAGGAAAUAGGGGCUUAUGUGAACCUGGGAGCCUAUUAUCUUGUGGGAAUUCCAAUGGGUUUGUUAUUGGGUUUUCAUCUGCAACUAAGAGCCAAGGGCCUUUGGAUGGGAACUCUAUCAGGCUCUCUUACACAAGUCAUUAUUCUUGCUAUUGUAACAGCACUAAUAGAUUGGCAAAAAGAGGCAACUAAAGCCAGGGAGAGAGUAGUUGAGAACUCAAUUAAAGCUCACAUUUGAUGUAUUCCUAUCGAGUUUAAGAAAACUGAAAAAUAAAUGACUGCAAGUGCUCACAAUCGAAGUCUUUUUGGUUUCUGCAUUGACUGUGAUCAGCAGUGGAGUGGAAAGAUAGUAUGGUGAAUGGUGCCGUGGAGACCUGCAAGGAGAGUUUCCAUAGGUUUGAUAAAUACCUAAACUUUAGUAAUCCACUGAUUUCCAACAACUUCAGUCCUGAUGCGUGUGGCUGGGCAUUUGGCAUGAAUAUGUUUGACUUGAAGGAGUGGAAGAAACGAAACAUCACUGGUAUCUAUCAUCAUGAAUGAGGAUAUAACCCUCUGGAAGAUUGGAACCUUACCCCCAUGACUAAUCACCUUUUACAAGAGAUAGAAUGGAAACUACAAGCCAUGGUUGAAUCUUGCUGUUUCCAAAUAUAAAUCGUACUGGUCCAGAUAUGCUGUGUUCGAUAAUCCAUAUCUUCGAGUUUGCAACCUUAGCGAAUAGUGAUUUUUGAGAAUGCUACCACACUACUCUACGUAAUAUAGUUGUGUCUUUCAAGAGAGACUGAAAUGAUUAAAACGUCAAUUUUGUCCUGAAA